CACAUUUCCGUCUAUUUUUAUUGUUCACAAGUCUAAAACCUCUCCCCUAUGCAAUGUGAAAGCGCUGCGGGUAUAAUAAAUAAAAUAAUUGUUUUAUAUCUACUGUAGUUGAAAC
rnacentral:lncRNA from 1 species